UACGUAGGGUCCGAGCGUUGUCCGGAAUUACUGGGCGUAAAGAGCUCGUAGGUGGUUUGUCGCGUUGUUCGUGAAAACUCACAGCUCAACUGUGGGCGUGCGGGCGAUACGGGCAGACUAGAGUACUGCAGGGGAGACUGGAAUUCCUGGUGUAGCGGUGGAAUGCGCAGAUAUCAGGGAGGAACACCCGGUGGGCCGAAGGCGGGUCUCUGGGCCGAUACUGACGCUGGAGGAGCGAAAGCCGUGGGGAGCGAACAGGA
rnacentral:rRNA from 1 species